GUCAAGUCAUCAUGGCCCUUACGCCUGGGGCUACACACGUGCUACAAUGGGCGGUACAAAGGGUCGCCAGGCCGCAAGGCCGAGCCAAUCCCAAAAAGCCGCUCUCAGUUCGGAUUGGAGUCUGCAACUCGACUCCAUGAAGUCGGAAUCGCUAGUAAUCGCGGAUCAGCCACGCCGCGGUGAAUACGUUCCCGGGCCUU
rnacentral:rRNA from 1 species